GUGUGUGAAUGUACCAUCCCCACAUUAUGCCUGUUCGUUCCAACUGCCUCAGAGCUGGGUGUGCGUGACAAACACCAGACCAGCAACACUGGUCUCACAUCUUUUAUUGUGUGCCCACUCCAAACGUCUUCCAGGACUCCCAGGAUUCUUUGGAGCCCUGACAGUGACAGUACCAGAGGAGCUCAGCUGCAGUCAGGACCUGAAAAUGUUUGUCACUAUCCUGUUUGGAGAUGGCAGGAUGGAAAUGUUCAAUCUCAACUGCAAGCUAAUCAACUUCAUCCAUCAUUUAAAGGAGAAGUGCGGACUGGAUUUGAAAGAGUGUGUGGACCUGAUGGACAGCAGUGGUAAAGUGAUGAACCUGGAGGCGAAGCAACACAGUGUGGCUCUGGCCAACAGCGUGCUGGCAGAGAGACAGUACUACGUCCUCCUGAGAGUCUGCCAGGAUGAUGCUGGAGGUCGGAAAUAUGUUUCGCUCCUAAACAACGAAAGCCAGAGUCAUCCCGAGUUAACAGGUAACAAACAAAGCCAAUUCAGCAACUGACUCCGACUCAACAGGAGCUGCUGAGGAAACUGUCAAACAAGGACAAAGAGCCAGAUAGGAAAAUCAGAAGAGUACGGACGCACAGGAGCAAAAAGAUUUCUACGAAGAGUCACCACAUUUAAUAUAGCUUCAAACAUAUGUGUCUGAUUUCUUUAGUGUAGAAAAUAUGUAUUUACACAGACCUUUUCUAUUUAAGCAACCUUUAGAAUUCUUUAAUAUAAUUAAUAUUUGAAUGCAAUGGAUAAACGAGCCAUUUGUUUGUUGCAGUGUCACAGCUGUUCAGACUUAUGGAGAAAUCUGAAAUAGAAUAGUUUGGGGAAAAUAUAGUUAAAAUGUAAUAUUAUAUAUUAAAGAAUACAUAAAAAAUGGUUAAUGUCUGGACAAAGUCAUGAGAGAUCCAACACUCUAGUGUGAAGAUAUAUUUUAGUGCUUCAGAUUUACUAAACACGGGCUAUUCUACUAGAUGGGACAAGGAACAUUGAAAAGUGAAAAACGAUGAAAAAUGUCUCCACUGAAAAUAAAGAAAAAUGAAAACAAAAA